GCGCUCGCCUUAUUGAAGGCAAGCCAGGCGGUGCUAGGUGGGGCACUAGAGGGGCACCUCGCCUCUCCUUGUGCCCUGCCUUGGCGCCUCUGGCGCCUUUAAUAACACUCCUGUAAUGUGCACAUUUUAAUAAAUAUGCACCUCAAAUCCCUUGGGUGUGUGUUUGUGCCUUGUGCAUUAGCACAAGUCUUAGGGACCUUUUUUCCUUUUAACCUUAUUUUGGCAACUAAAGAUGGAACUAUAGUUAUUAGGUAGUUAAGAUGUUAAGCUAUGUCAUUGUGCACAAUGAUGUGCUUAUCCAUAUAAAGCCUUGUUUCCAAUUGAAGAGAGUAUUGAUGAUCAUGUUAUGUUUGAUCAUGAAUAUAUAUAAGUGCAGGCAGAGAAAGAGAGAAUGGUAUAAAAAAUUACCUAAGU
rnacentral:misc_RNA from 1 species